UCAAUUAUUAUCUAGGGCUGCUUUGUGCUAACAAGAAUGGAAACUUCUGUCCUGUGCUCCUCCAUUUUCCUAGAAAAAAGAAUCUGAUCAGUCACUAAUACCUUACUAUGAACUAGUUGCUGUGUGAUUAGCUACUCCUAGGAGCAACUUUGUUUUUAAAAAAACAAAUUGAGGGAAGUUUAUUCAAUAAGAUGAGUCUUUUAGUAGCAGAGCUUUGGACUCUUGGCAUCUGAGAAGGAGCAAUUUUUAAGACCUUAAGAUUUUCUUGGUACACUCAGUGUUGCGGCGGGGACACAGCUGGUCCUGAGAAGGCAUCAUACUCAGACAAGCCUGCAAGAUUGCAUUCAUUCCUGUUGGUGAGUCCUAAGCUUUAGA
rnacentral:lncRNA from 1 species